AGAACGAACGCUGGCGGCAUGCCUAAUACAUGCAAGUCGAACGAACACUUCGGUGUUAGUGGCGCACGGGUGCGUAACGCGUGGGAAUCUGCCCUUGGGUUCGGAAUAACAGUUGGAAACGACUGCUAAUACCGGAUGAUAUCGAAAGAUCAAAGAUUUAUCGCCCAGGGAUGAGCCCGCGUAGGAUUAGCUAGUUGGUGAGGUAAAGGCUCACCAAGGCGACGACUCUAGCGUGUCGUGAGAGUAUGACUACACGACCACUACGGU
rnacentral:rRNA from 1 species